GACGUAGGGCGCGAGCGUUGUCCGGAUUAUUGGGCGUAAAGAGCUCGUAGGCGGCUUGUCGCGUCGACUGUGAAAACCCGUGGCUCAACCAUGUGGUCUGCAGUCGAUACGGGCAGGCUAGAAUUCGGUAGGGGAGACUGGAAUUCCUGGUGAGCGGUGAAUGCGCAGAUAUCAGGAGGAACACCGGUGGCGAAGGCGGGUCUCUGGGCCGAUAUUGACGCUGGAGGAGCGAAAGCGUGGGGAGCGAACAGG
rnacentral:rRNA from 1 species